UCCUCCUGAAUGCUGGGGUUACAUUCACCAACCACUGUGCUGGAUGGUGUCAUUGACUUCUUAAUUAACAAAAUCCCCUGUAUUGUAAGUGUUGUCUAUCACAGAUAACAAGUAAUGUAGAAGUAGAAGGGUCUGGGUUGGCUCAUUUCGUGGCCUGGUUGGCUGCCAUCAUUGUCUGAAGAGGAUUUGCUCAUUAAGUCUUCCAGAGUUAGUAUUUUGGCUUUUGUCUUACUGUACCAUUACAAUAUUAAAAUUGCUGCCUUGAUUCUGCAUAGGAAAUUAACUAUAAUAUAAAGGAAGAUAUCACCUUGGAUAUACUCUUGGAUAUAAAUAUGUGGUUUUCCUCUUGGAUAUAAAUAUGUGGUUUUCCUCUCAUGAGACAGUUUUCCAAUGCUUCAGACAGUUGUGUGUCCUACAUCUCAAGAAUGAUGCUGGUUUCCAGGAGUUUAUACAUAUCUCACAGGUUAAAAACUCAGUCCCAUAUGACCAUUUCCUCCAGAGACACCAAUUGCAAGUAAUAUGUCUCCAGCGUACCUGUUUUUUUAUUUGAUUUAGUUGGGACUUGAAAGUACCUCUUAGUGCUUGGCACUUUGCUAUAACGACAGAGAUCUCAGAAGGACACUGUAUUUGUAUAUAUUUUUUUAAAAAGGAUUUAUUUAUUUAUUUAUUUAAUUUAUGUAUCUAAGUGCUCUAGCUGUAUGUGUACCUGAAUGUCAGAAGAGGGCAUCAGAUCCCAUUACAGAUGGUUGUGAGCCACAAUGUGAUUGCUGGGAAUUGAACUCAGGACCUCUGAAAGAUCAGCCAGUCCUCUUAACCACUGAACCAUCUCUCCAGCCCUGGCAUUUGUUUAUUUUAAAGGAUAUUCUAAAGGCAUUCAUAGACAACCAGAUGAAGCAGCAGGUAAGAUGAAGUCCAGAAGACUCCCCAGCCCACUAGGUCAUUUUUGGGGCUCUGCUAACCUCUUUUUGGGAACUUUCACAAUGGCUUUAAUCACAUAAGUAAGAUCACUAACUCUGUCUCCAGCUUUUCUCCUUUUUCCAGAUAAUGGAAGCCAGGGUUUUUCGGAAAAUAUCCCAGCCAACCAAGAAUUGCUUCACGAGCACUGAAGUAUGCCUAUCACCCAAGUAGCCUCUGUAAACUGGGGUGUCCGGAACUGGGGAACAAGGACAAAUGUUGGGGCGCAGAAUCUCCUUAGCAUCCCGUCACUUAGGAAGAAGUUAAAUUUGACACGAGCAGCUAAGCAUGAAGCAUAUAUGUGCCUUAUUAUAGCACAGCACCUUAGUCAUUUCUCUCCUUUUUAAAAACAGGAACUUCAUGGGAAGGUAGGUGGGAAUCUUUCUAGACGCUUCCCACACCACCUCCAGCAGUUCUUCCCUUUUAUCUUGGUGGCUAGGGAUUUAUGAGACUAUCGAGGUGGCCAUGAAUUCACCCUCUGCUGCUGGGGGUAAAGUCAUAUCUUCUUACAACAGUGGGAGUGGGACCCUCUGUCUGCCCUGAGUGGACAUGAAAGCAUCAGGGGCAUAAGGCUGUUGGCCAGUGCCAUGGUUUGGAUAUAAAACGUCCACAUUCCUGCCAAACGCUGGGCUCUGAGCUGCUGGUGCUAUCUUGGGAGGUUCUAAAAGAGAAGAAGUAGAUCACUGUGGAGCGUGACGUUGAAGGUGGUGUCUGGUCCCUACUCUCCUCCUCACCCUGAUUUCUGUCCUCCAGGAGCGAAAGAGCCCCUUUUGCCACAUGUCCCCACGGCCAUGGUGCUCUGUCCAAGUGCAUGGUCCCCAGCGAUCAUGGCAGACCCUCUGAAACAUUUAGCAAAGAAAACUCUUUCCUUGGGCUAGGUUGUUUUCUUGGGUAAGUGAGAGAGGCAGGCAACCACCAGUGUCUGCCACAGUGGUAAAAUUCUGAGAUUCGGUGAGGAAACAAGGGACACCAGGUAGAGAGUGAAGAACAAGAAAAUAGGAAACACAGGAGCACAGAAGCCAGAGCAGGGCAAAUUCAAAGAAACAAAAGGAUGAGAUAAGUUGUGGUCCGGGCUAUAGAGAAAUGGAAAAACUGACAUGUUCUCGCGAGAUGGGGCAAGUCAAAGGUUCCACGAUGUGUCUGGGGACCGAUGACUGUGAAAGGGAGUGGUCAAGCAGAAGCUGUUUGGAGUAGGAUGGGAAAAUAAGCACCAAGGUGAUAUUUUGUAACAGACUGUGGUUGCUGGUUGCUGGGAGCUCUGACAGUGGAAGAGGCAGCACAGCAGGACUAAAAAAGCUACCGUGACAGUAGAUGACUAGUGAUCAUCUUGCCCCUGGCCAGCGGGGAGAAAUUCAUUACAAAUGAGCACUGUGGGGGCUAGGCAUCACUGUGAUUUGGGCAUAGUCACAUGUACUUACAUGUUUCUCAAAUCGUGCAGAACUUAUCCUUUUCAGGGUCAAUUUUCACUGAAUAAAAACCUCAAUUUUAAAAAUGAAAAACAAGGGCUGGAGUGAGCAAGUGAGCGGGCCGGAACAGGGCGGGGGCGAGAGCUGGAGAGUUAGCUCAGCUGUGCGUGAUGGCGCACGCCUUUAAUCCCAGCACUUGGGAGGCAGAGGCAGGCAGAUUUCUGAGUUCGAGGCCAGCCUGGUCUACAAAGUGAGUUCCAGGACAGCCAGGGCUACACAGAGAAACCCUGUCUCGAAAAACAAACAAACCAGCCAACCAACAAAUGCACUGACUGCUCUUCCAGAGGUCUGAGUUCAAUCCCAGCAACCACAUGGUGGCUCACAACUAUCUGCCCUCUUCUGGUGUGUCCGAAACCAGUUACAGUGUACUUACAUAUAAUGAAUAAAAACUUUUUUUUUUUUUUUUGGUUUUGCGAGACAGGGUUUCUCUGUAUAGCCCUGCCUAGAUCCAGUGACCCAGAGACCCGCAUCCCAGGGUCAGCCCUAAGAAACCUGCUCCAGAAGUCCUUCAGUGGAGGCCAAGGGACAAGACGGAAGUAGCAUCUUCAGACAUCAACAUCAGCAUCACGGCAUCCUUGCAUCCUUACUUGGGUCUUGGGACUCAGCAAGUCUGCAGUGCUCUGCAGUCAGUGGGUAAGAUACAUCGGUAACUCAGGCACUUCAAGGGCAUUCGGGAAAUACUGAGGUCCUCUUACUGCCAAGAGUAGAAUAUAAGAGUGGCUAUAGACCUUUGUUUAUCUAUCUAGUUCAGCCUCAUUGUUUUACAGAUGAGAGCUUACUCCAGCAAAAGUCACCUCUAGGGGCUUACUCUGCUCCCAUUGGUAUUCACAUGCAUUUAUAAAUGCACUAAUACCUCUUUUUUUGGGGUGGUGGUGGGGUUCCAAGAAAGAUCUAGAACCAAGCAUCUACUUAAAAAUGAAAGCAACACUACAUAUUAAGGAGAUAAAUGACAUUCCCUGUGACACUGGAAAAAAAUUUUGCACUUAGCUAAGAAGUAGAACCCAAGAACCCAUUUCAUUUUAAGCAACGGAAUCUCUCAUUCUGCUCAUUUAAACAUCUAUAGCAAUGGCCCCUCCACUCUCCCAGAAACACAUGUUCUUCAUAUGGGAAUAUAUUCUUUAGAAGCUUUAAAAUUUGUUACAAAAUUUUCCAGAUUAGUCUUUUUUUUUUUUAAGGCAUCGAGUACAGUGGUACUAUGUAUGUUCAUGAUGCUAUACCACUAAUAUCAACUUUACAAAGUUUUUAUUAAUUGAAGCAGAAAUGAGUCAUUAAACUAUGACUUUCUGUGGCCCUCAGCCCAUGACAGUAACACUUCUGCCUUCUGCCUCUGGGUAUCUGAUUAUUCCAGCUACCUCUUGUAAGGGGAACUAUACACCAUGUGCUGGAUUAUCUCACGUAGUGUUUUUGUUUUAAGACUUGUCUAUAUUAUACCUUGUGUCGGAAUUUCCUCCCUUUAAAAAACUGAAUAAUAUACAAUAAUAUAGCCAAUACAUUGGAUAUAUAUUUAAUAAUAAUAUAUUCACGGUUUUACUUGCCACAUUUUAUUUAACAAUUUGUGUAUUUAUGGACAUUUGGAUUGGUCAACCCUUUAGUUACUGUGAAUUGCAGUCUGGAGAAUAUGAGAGUGUAAGUAUCUAAGUCCAGCUUCUAAUUCUUUCGGACAGAUGUUCACAAGUGGAGUGUUGGGACAAACAGCAAACUCUACAUUUAGGUCUCUGAGAAAUUCCAAUGUUAUUUUCCACGGCAAAGAUGUUAUUAUUAGCUAUAUGCAAGUUCUCUGACUUUUCUGUGUUUCAUUUAGCAACUGGUAUUUUCUGUUUACAGGAAAAAAAAGAACCCUUAAAAAAUCAAGUAAUAGCCAUUUUAAUGGGUAUGAGGUAGUAGAUCAUGAUUCUUGUUUUGCUUAUUCUUAUAAGUGUGUGUGUAUGUGUGACUGCAGGUGUAAGUGUGCCACAGUGCACCUGUGGAGGUCAGAAGACAGCCUAGGAUUUCAGUUCUUGCUUUGCAUGUAGAGAGAGAGUGCUUUCUAGUUCACUGCUGCGUACUCUAGGAUAGCUGGGCCAGUGAGUUUGUGGGGAACUGUCUUUUCCACCUCACAUUUCACCAUGGCAACACUGAUUACAGGUGCAUGCUAUUGUGUCCUGCUCUAUGCAGGUUCUGAUGAUCUAGACACAGGCAGUCACACUUAUGAAUCAUCUCCCUACCCAGUGAUUAUUUUGAUUUUCAUUUCUCUAAUGUAAAGCAGUGUUGAAAUUGUUUCCUCUUGCUCAUUGGCCUCAUGCAUACUUCUGUUCACCACUGUUUAUUAUUUCUAUUAUUUUUUGAGAUUGUAAUGUAAUUACCUCAUUUCCUCCUCCCAUUAUUAUUCUUGUUGUUGUUUUGAGAUAAGGUUUCUCUGUGUAGCCCUGGCUGUCCUGGAACUCACUCUAGACCAGGCUGGCCUUUAGUUUAGAGAUCCACCUGCUCCUGCCUCUUGAGAGCUGGGAUUAAAGGCGUGAGCCACCACUGUCCAGCUUCCCUUUUCCAUGAACAAAGGUUGCUUUGUAUUGUUGUUGUUGAGUUGAGAAGCCUUUUUAUAUAUCCUGGGAAUAGCCAUUAUUAAAUAUCUGAUUCACAUAAUUUCUCUGAUCAUGUCUUCCUUCCUUCCUUCCUUCCUUGUUUCCUUCCUUCCUUCCCUCCUUCCUCGCUUCCUACCCCCACAUUAUAUUGCUCACUGCAGACUUUGCAGCAGGUUUUGAAAUCAGGAUUAUGAAUCUGCCCAUUGGGGUUCCUUUAAAAAUACACUUUAAAAAAUAAUUGUGCAUCCAGACAGCAUACAUUCCCGGAAGAUAAUUUUCAAGAGGGCAAGAUCUGAAUCUUCAAGAUUUAAUACAGAAAACUGUAUUCUUUUCUUUCUUUACUUACUGCAUGAAAAAGAAGAAACAAUGACUCAGUCUGCUUUUUUCUUCUAAGACGUGCUUAGAGGAAUUGAUUCUGCGUGUUAAGAUUCCAUUGGGAGAAACAUGAGAAGGGGCAGAGGGUAGAGGAAGGUAAUGGUACUGGGUAGAGGAGCUGCCUGCUGAAAGUGAGACUGAUGGUGGAGUAUUGUUGAGAGAGAGAGAGAGAGAGGGAGAGAGAGAGAGAGAGAGAGAGAGAGAGAGAAAGGAAGGAGAGAGAGUGAGUGAGUGAGUUAGUUAGUUGUUGGGCAAGAUGUUUGGAUCUAGGAGCUGACUCAACGGAUGGUGACAAGGGGAGGGAAGGCCUUGUUGUCUUGAUUUGGCUUGGCACUGAACACACAAGAAGCAUUGUUCUGAGCCUCCUUGCUAGGUACUCAUAGGUGGGGUGCCUCACACUCCACAGGUGGGAUAAAGAUGCCCAACAACAUCCCUACUACGAUUAACUUAUAUUUGCCCUCCCUCCCCGGGCCAUCUUCCAAAGGAAAAAAAAAAUCCCCAAAUAUGAUUUAUUUCAGGCAUAACUUCCACUAUUCUUUGGCCUCUAUUCUUUUUUUUAAAAAUUAUUAUUGGAUAUUUUAUUUUAUUUACAUUUCAAAUGUUAUCUCCUUUCUGGCCCCCCCCACCCACCCCCGGAAGCCCCCUAUCCCAUCCUCCCUCCCCCUGCUUCUAUGAGGGUGUUCCUCCACCCACCCACCCACUCCUACCUCCCUGCCAUCAGUUCCCCUACACUGGGGGCAUCUAUCGAGCCUUCAUAGGACCAAGGACCUCUCCUCCCAUUGAUGCAUGACAGGCCAUCCUCUACAACAUAUGCAGCUGGAGCCAUGUGUACUCCUUUGUUUGAUGGCUUAGUCCCUGGGAGCUCCUGCCUCUAUUCUUUUAAAAAAUGUACUUUAAGUAGUAAUCAGUGAUGCUGCUAGUUGGGUUUUCCAUGAAACGGAGGGAGAGUUAGGGAAAGAAUCAGCUAGUGUUCAGUUCUCAAAUGGCUAAUGGACUGCUGACAGUCAGUCUGGACCUUGUUACAAGGAAGGGGAUAAAUAGGGCCAGGAGUAGAAUAAAGAACUUCCAGAGUGUGCCAAGGGCUAGCUGUGAACUUUUUAAUCAGCCAAGACAGGUGUGAUGUCUGGGAGAGUUUGCCAAAGCCAUUGACCUAUGAUCAGCAGGUAAACAGGGAAGCAAGCAAGAUGGCAAAACAAGGGAUUUAGAACCACAAGUUUGGCUGAGACUGACAAUGACAUGCACACAUGCAACAAGUUAAUAAUGCCUUCCUUAACUGGCACUGAACGCAUCCUUUGGGGAGGCAGCAGAUAAUGCACUUGCAGUGGCAAGUGCUGAAGCAGAUGGCUGUUGACAGCGUGAACCCAGGAGCUGCAGACGAGGUUGCCCUGGAGACGUGCUCAGCUUUCUCAGAAUCUGAAUGGAGAGCUACCCCGCUAAUGGAUGAAAUCAUCCGUUAAAGAACAGGAGGAAGAAUGGAGGUCUCUCACAUCCUGUGCAGUGUCUGCCUGUGUGUCUCUAUACUCAGUCCCAUCUGCUGCAGGAGGAAGGAAGCCUCUUUGAUGAUGACCGAACAAGACACUAUCUGUCAGUAUAACAGAAUAUCAUUUGGAUUAAUUGUAUCACAGCAUUAUUUUUUUUUAGAACAGUAGUAUUUGGUUUUACUUUUGGUCUCUGGGCUAUCUAAUAUGUGGUUCUUGGUCACACAAGCAGUGUUGGAUAUGUUUUCAUCUUGUGAAGUGGGUCUUGGGUCAAAUCAGAUAAUGGUUGGUUACUCCCAAAGCUCUGCACCACCCCUAGGACAGGCGUUUUCAGUCUUCCUAAUGCUGUGACCCUUUAAUACAGUUCCUUAUGUUGUGGCGACCGGAGGCUAUAAAAUUGUUUCAUUAUAACUGCAAUUUUUGCUACUGUUACAAAUUGUAAUAUAAAUAUCUGAUACUUGGGGCUGGAGAGAUGGCUCAGUGGUUAAGAGCACUGACUGCUUUUCCAAAGGUCCUGAGUUCAAAUCCCAGCAACCAUCUAUAAUGGGAUCUGACACCCUCUUCUGGUGUGUCUGAAGACUACAACAGUGUACUCACAUAUAUAAAAUAAAUAAAUCUUUUAUUAAAACAAUUUUUAAUACUUGACCCCCAAAUGGUCACAACCAACAUGGGUUGAGAACUGGUGUCCUAGGAUUGUGGCUGGCUGGUGUUUACAUUUUUCUUUUGGUACCAUGCAGAGUACCAAAAACAAUGCUAGAACAUAUGGGAGAAGGCUCUAUGUAGGUACCAGCUCAAUGUCUACAUAUUCAGUAAAUUGUGUAGGUGUUGUCUUUUGAAAUGGGAACUUGCUAUCAGUUUGGGGAGAUUAACCUAUUGUCUUUGCUACAACCUGUGUUGUUCAGGAUUCCCAUAGGAAUCCUUUGGUUAACGAUUCAAUUAGGUGUAACCCAAUACCCAUCGUGGAAGCUUAAUUUGUUGACAAGAGAUGGCCAGUUGGGGCUCUGUCUUUCUCAUUAUUUGGCAAUUUGAUUUAGGUUACUUCCUAUAUGUGUAUAUUUUAGGAAGUUUCUUCUGUGUUGGGUUCCUAUAACAUUCCUCAAAUGCCCCUUACUUUUAGCUGUCUCUCCCUGUAUUAUCUCCCCCAACCCCCUUUCUUAUCUCCCUCCCCACUUUAUCCUGCCAUUCCAUCCACUUAUCCAUCCAUAACUAUUUAUUCUAUUCCCAUUUCCUAACAAGCUCUAUCUCUACCCUCUGGUCCCUUACUGUGUGCUUACCCAUUGUGGUCCUAAAGAUUUUAAGUGGUUAGCAUUGAUAUAACAGCUAAUGUCCACAUAUAAGUGGGAAUGCACCAACCAUGUUUGUCUUUCUAGGUCGGGGAUGCCUUUUUAUCUAGUUUCAUCCAUUUGUCUGCAAAUUUCAUGAUGAUUUUUUUUUAAACAGCUGAAUAAAAC
rnacentral:lncRNA from 1 species